rnacentral:lncRNA from 1 species
UGCAGUUUGGAGCGCUCACGGAGGAGGAGGGGGAGAGAGAGUGAGAGCAAGGCAGAGAGGGAGGGAGAGAGAGAAAAAGAGAGAGAGAGGGGAAGUGAGAUAGAGGGAGACAGGAGAAGGAAAGAGAGAGAGGGAGUGCGAACAAUGUCAUUCCGUUCAGUAAGGCAAAUGCUGCAGUCAACUUUACGGCUCAAGUGAAGGCACACCACCAGAGGCUGCGGAGGCAUCCUGAGAGCAGAACAAGAGGAGGCUGAAGGGCGCUCUGCUGAACAGGAACAUGCCUUGACUUGUACCGGCUUGUCUGAAGGGAGCACUGGCUUGUGGUCAACAGCAGCAGCUGUGUGCAUUUCACUCAGCACUGACCCGGCAGCAGGAGGACAGCAGCUCUAUCCUCCGAUUUCUGGAAAUACAGAACAAACACAGGUAUCUCAGUAUCACUGAACUCUGACUGAGAGGACUGAUCAUCUUCCAAUCCAGCUCUCAGGACAGCUUGUUUACUGCUGGACUUCCCUUCAGUGGAAAGCCCCUCAACUUUAUCUCACUCCAGCGUGUUCCUAGAGCUCACCAAGAGCACUCAGCCUGUUCCUGCAGAGAACCACAGGUAAGAAGAUUUUCAUCUGUGAUCAAGUUUAUUAUAUAUUUACAUCUAUAAUAAACAUAUAUUUAUAUGUCUCCAUUAAAAUAUAUCACACUACCCUUGUGAAAAUGAAGUAUACUUUAGAGCA